CUCCAGUUCCAUUCAGUCCUCAUAACUUUCUGGCCCUUUUCCAGGCGAACCCUGUAUACUGACAGUACCUGAAGAUAAAAGGUGGAAGAGGAGAAGGAGAAGACAUGGAAGAAAAUACCCCAAAGAUCUUGGAAGAAUGGAAGUCCCAUCAUAUGGAACAUGACAUCUGCAGCAUAGUGGCCAACAAGGACGUUUAGAACAAUUAAACCUUCAACAUGAAGAUCGUCAUCUGAGGAACUCUAAUUAAGAAGUCAGUU